rnacentral:rRNA from 1 species
UACGGAGGGUGCAAGCGUUGUUCGGAAUUACUGGGCGUAAAGGGUGUGCAGGCGGCUGGGUAAGUCCGAUGUGAAAUCCCUCGGCUCAACUGAGGACGUGCAUCGGAUACUGCUUAGCUUGAGUCUCGGAGAGGGGGGUGGAAUUCCCGGUGUAGAGGUGAAAUUCGUAGAUAUCGGGAGGAACACCAGUGGCGAAGGCGACCCCCUGGACGAUGACUGACGCUGAGGUG